AGCUAAUAGAUACCCGGGUAGUCCACGCCGUAAACGAUGGAUGCUAGCUGUUAGAGGUAUCGACCCCUCUAGUAGCGAAAGCUAACGCGUUAAGCAUCCCGCCUGUGGAGUACGGUCGCAAGACUAAAACAUAAAGGAAUUGACGGGGACCCGCACAAGCGGUGGAGCGUGUUGUUUAAUUCGAUGGUAAGCGAAGAACCUUACCCAGGCUUGACAUCCUUGGAACCUCGGCGAAAGUCGAGGGUGCCUUCGGGAACCAAGUGACAGGUGAUGCAUGGCCGUCGUCAGCUCGUGUCGUGAGAUGUUUGGUUAAGUCCAUCAACGAGCGCAACCCCUAUAGUUAGUUGGAUUUUUCUAGCUAGACUGCCCUGGUAACAGGGAGGAAGGAGGGGAUGAUGUCAGGUCAGUAUUUCCCUUACGUCUGGGGCUACAAACACGCUACAAUGGCCGGUACAAAGGGCAGCCAAGUCGCGAGACGGAGCAAAUCCCAUCAAAGCCGGUCCAAGUUCGGAUAGCAGGCUGAAACUCGCCUGCUUGAAGUCGGAAUCGC
rnacentral:rRNA from 1 species